CCUACGGGAGGCAGCAGUAGGGAAUUUUGCGCAAUGGGCGAAAGCCUGACGCAGCAACGCCGCGUGAUCGAGACGCCCUUCGGGAUGUAAAGAUCUGUCAGUGGGGACGAAACUUGACGGUUACCACAGAGGAAGCACCGGCUAACUCCGUGCCAGCAGCCGCGGUAAUACGGGGGGCGCAAGCGGUGUCCGGAAUCAUUGGGCGUAAAGAGUUCGUAGGGGGGACGUAAAGUCUGGUGUUAAAGGCAGUGGGUCAACUUCUGUACGGCACUGGAUACUUGCUAGCUAGAAUGCGGUAGAGGUAAAGGGAAUUCUUGGUGUAGCGGUGGAAUGCGUAGAUAUCAGGAGGAACAUCAGUGGCGUAAGCGGUUUACUGGGUCGUAAUUGACGCUGAGGAACGAAAGCCAGGGUAGCAAAUGGGAUUAGAUACCCGGGUAGUC
rnacentral:rRNA from 1 species